rnacentral:rRNA from 1 species
UGAGGAAUAUUGGUCAAUGGUCGGAAGACUGAACCAGCCAUGCCGCGUGAAGGAAGAAUGCCUUAUGGGUUGUAAACUUCUUUUGUACGGGAACAAUAAGGAAUACGUGUAUUCCGAUGCGGGUACCGUACGAAUAAGCAUCGGCUAACUCCGUGCCAGCAGCCGCGGUAAUACGGAGGAUGCGAGCGUUAUCCGGAUUUAUUGGGUUUAAAGGGUGCGUAGGCUGGCUUAUAAGUCAGAGGUGAAACCCCACGGCUUAACUGUGGAAUUGCCUUUGAUACUGUAGGUCUUGAGUACUUUUGAGGCAGGCGGAAUGUGCAGUGUAGCGGUGAAAUGCUUAGAUAUUGCACAGAACACCGAUUGCGAAGGCAGCUUGCUAAGAAGAUACUGACGCUGAAGCACGAAAGUGUGGGGAUCAAACAGGAUUAGAUACCCUGGUAGUCCACACUGUAAACGAUGAUUACUGGAUGUUUGCCGAGUAAUUGGUGAGCGUCUGAAGCUAAAGCAUUAAGUAAUCCACCU